CAGUUAGAUAACUACGAGUUCACAAAGAGCUGCCCAUUAAAGCAUGCCAACUAUGAAAAUGCUAUGGUAAAUUGCAAAGUGGAAUAUAAAUAUGACACUCCUUAUAAAUGCCUAUUGCCUAAUUAUCAUCUGAACUUUGUCAUAGUGAGACAACAUUAAACAGGAAAGUUUUACCUGACCUGUAGUUAAAUAUUAGCUAGCUUUAGAUUAAAAAUACAGGCAAAAUAAAUAGACUUUUACUUUGAUCACAAAAUGGGGUAUUUGAAUAAGUGAAAUCUAAACUGUGCAAUUAGACUGUUUCACACAGAAGAAGCAUAGAAACAGUGGAUAACAAUAGACAAAGUGGUAAUUCCUUGGAUAUGUGAAAAGAAUAUGGGAAAAAAAAGAAUAAAACUUGCCAGAAGGAACCUCAUAUACAUGGGCAGGGUCCCUUCAGGUGUUGGAAGGUGCAAUAAGGUCUGCCCAGAGCCUUCUCCAGGCUGAAAAAUCUCAGCUCUCUCAGCCUUCUUCACAGGAGAGGUGUUCCAGAGCCCUGAUCAUCACCAUGGCCUCCUCUGGACAUGCUCCAACAGUUCUGAGUCUUUAUGUUGAGGACCCCAGAGCUGGAUGCAGUGCUGCAGGUGGGGUCUCACCAGAGCAGAUUAGAGGGGCAGAAUCACUUCCCUUGACCUGCUGUUCAUGCUGCUUUGGUUGCAGCCCAGGAUAUGGUUGGCUUUUGGGGCCAACCCAAUCUUACAGAGAAAUAAGGAAAAUGAGAUUCUGCAGUGGACCAGACUUCAGUGAUUUGUCUUUCAUGAGGUGUGUCUCUGCUCAGACCUUCUGAGCAAAGAUCGGUGCUCAGAGUUUAAUGCUUGUUGGUCAACCUUCUGUAUUUUAAAAUGUUCCCAAAGUAUGGAGAAACAUAUCUGAAGAACAAUGGAACUCAACAUUUCCUCUCCCUUGGAUUUUAAGAGAGGAUAAUGGAUGUUCUCUCUUAAAGCAUUUGUGCUAUUGAUUGUGUGAUAGGUUUUAUCACUUUUACAAAAAGUGGCACCUCACCUUGUUCUGUGUUCAUUACUUUAUUUACUUAUGAGAAAAAUAUUAUCUUCAGAAAGUCCCAGGCAGGGAUUUACCAUCCUGGAUCAAAUGAGUAAAACCUGAUAAUUCCAAAGUUGUUGGCAAGAAAAUAACAGCCCCAUGACAGGUCAUGUUCCCACAGGUUUCUCUGAUAAUCACUAAUUGCUUCAGAAUCACAUAUUCGGAAUGGAAAAGAGAGCUGAUUCCAUCAGGUCACAUCAUUAAGAUGAAAAGGUGACACGCAACAUCAGCUGCCUAGCAAUAUCAUAUUCCUUCUAUUUAUCAGUGAUUUGUUUAUUCUCUUUUUAAAUAAUAGAAAUUAUGAAGUUUCUGCCAUUUUUGUAAGUGCAUAGUAGUUCCUCAUCUGAAUACAAUAAAUUCUCAAUAGUUCCUACGUACAUGAAUUUUCUUCUGAUUUUCAUACUCUCCUACUAAACUAAAUAAUUGCAUUUUUGUCCUUGUUAAGGCUCUUCAAUAUCUUUAAGCAUUUAUAAUGUGUCCAAUCAGUUGUAUAAUGGCAAGCUAUACAAAUGCUGGGGGAGGAUCUUCUAAAUGAAAAUAUGAUAGUUAGGCAUUGAUUUUCUGUAAAAGCAGAGCACUUAACAGCACAAUGCUCUCUCCUGGUCUAGUUCCAGGAAAGGAUUUAGGCACCUAAGACAACAGCUGAGUAGAUACAAAUUAUCUAAAUCAAUUCAGCCACUAUUUAACGUUUGUGGAGCCUAAAUUCAAUAAGGAGCUCCCUGUUCCAUCUUAAAAUCCCUAAGCACAUAAGCCUGUGCUUCUGUAGAUGCUCAGAGAUGUUGUCUAUGUAGCCAUCUUAUUACUUAUUUUCCUUCUAAAUAUGGCUGGAACCCCAGAAGCAGACAUUCCUUCACUUUAAUUGACUCUGAGACUUAACCUAAGAAGUUUCUUUGCAGUGUGCCAAAAGCACAUCUACAGAAACAGGCUACACUUUUCUGCAGUCUCCCCUUUUUUAAAUUACUGGAGAAAAUGACAAUGCUGUUCACCUUUUCUAUCUUAUUCUAGAGUUCACCCAGCUCACAAGUUAGGGUAUGAGUUCAGUUUCUUCAUCAGGAAGCAUUAAACACACAGACUCUGUCUCAAAGGAAAGUGCUUUCAAUGCUAUUUAUGCCUUGAGGUGCAUUUUUGAGAGCAAGAGGAGAAAACCCCUGUACCUUUGGCUGCAGCUGUGCUGCCCCCAUGGCAGGGAGUGCCAGGCUCUCUGGCCACAGAGGCCCUGUCAUGCUGUAGCCUGCAGUGUUCCAGAUGAAGCAUCUACAAAUCAUCCUGACCUGAUAAGUGCAGAAGUCAAGGGAUGCAAUAUUGGGUCUGGGAGUCCAUUAUUAGUUUCAGGUACUCAAAAUGUAUAUUUGAUACCCAUGUGGUCAGUCUCUGCACUCAUGUUAAUCUAUCUCCUUACCCAUACUUAUUUACUUUUCCUCUGGAAAUAUCUCAGAUUUUAAGAACUUAUCUGUAGGGCUGGGGGAAAAUUCAUAUCAGAAACAAUCUCAUUCUUCUCAAGUUCUUCUCUGCAUAUAUUUCUUUCCCUGAACAUUUCAAUUACACAUUGGUUACUUCUUUUUGAGCCUUUGAUCAUGGUAUAGAUCUUUUUAUGGGACAUUUCUUGUUUUGUACAUCUAUCUGGUAUUGAGUUUUUACAUCGCUUGAGAAAUUGAGCAACAUGCACCUGUUUAAUUUAUCCUUAUAUUAUGCUAAAUAUUUAUGUUUGAAUUGUUAUUCUGUUUUGUCAUGAAUGUGUCCUUAAAUAUUUCUUCCUUUUCUUACAUAUAUGUGUAUAUGAAACGGUUUUUCUUGAAGCUAUGAUCUUUAAAUUUUUUAAUUGAACCGUAAUUGUUUUGUUAAUAAUGUUUUCUCUUUCUAGCUAGCCUCUUACACUAUUCUGAUGCAUUUACACAUAUUGAUACCCCUCAGUUAUGAUUUCACUCUGUCAAAGUCCUUUCAUGCAAGCUACUCUUUAAAAUUUAAUUUCAAAAUUUAAAUAUAAAUGCAUUAUAAAUUUAAAUAUAUUGCAUCUACUAACUUUCACCUAUUGAUCUGGUAAUUCUAUCAAGAAAAUAAUCAAUGUUGAUAAAAACUGUUGUUUGCAAACACAUGAUUAAUAUGGCUUAUAACACAGAUCCUUGUUAAGUUAAUAUGUGUUCUGAAAGAAAAGUAUUGAAUAUCUGAUAUUAGACUUAUGCGUUGGGGCUCUUCGGGAUAUAGCAGAAUAGUAGCUUAUUUACAAGGCUGAAUUCUGAAUUUACAAUACUGCUUUUAUCCCAGAAAACUUGUCAGGGAUAGUUAAAAAAAAUAAAAUCUUAAAUAAUAUAGGGUGUCUGGGUUAUUUCCAGAAAUAAGUUUGACUAUCUGUCAACUCAUAAUUAUAUCUGUCAACUCAUAUUGUAACUGAUGAUAUAUGCUCAUUUAUGUAAAGCAGGAGACAUUUUUUUCCUUAUGUAGAAAAUUUCAGAACUUGAACUCAAUACCAGCAGAUGCCACCAUCGUAGUAUAAUAUCUAUUUCCUUAGGAUUACCUUACGCACUACAUUCUAGGAAGGGAAUUUUGCAGACACUUCCAAAGGAGCUGAGGAUCAGCUGUGUACUUUAAGACCCCAGACAGUAUGUUGAAGAUUAAUAAAUGUUAAUAUUAUGAAAAUA